GUCUAUGGCCAUGCCACCCUGAACACGCCCGAUCUUGUCUGAUCUCAGAAGCUAAGCAGGGUCGAGCCUGGUUAUUACUUGGUUGGGAGACCACCUAGGAAUACCAGAUGCUAUAGGCA
rnacentral:rRNA from 1 species